UACGUAGGGUGCAAGCGUUUAAUCGGAAUUACUGGGCGUAAAGCGUGCGCAGGCGGUUUUGUAAGUCUGACGUGAAAUCCCCGGGCUCAACCUGGGAAUUGCGUUGGAGACUGCAAGGCUGGAGUCUGGCAGAGGGGGGGUAGAAUUCCACGUGUAGCAGUGAAAUGCGUAGAGAUGUGGAGGAACACCGAUGGCGAAGGCAGCCCCCUGGGUCAAGACUGACGCUCAUGCACGAAAGCGUGGGGGAGCAAACAGG
rnacentral:rRNA from 1 species